rnacentral:rRNA from 1 species
UCAGGACGAACGCUGGCGGCGUGCUUAACACAUGCAAGUCGAGCGAUGAAGCUCUUCGGAAGUGGAUUAGCGGCGGACGGGUGAGUAACACGUGGGUAACCUGCCUCAUAGAGGGGAAUAGCCUUCCGAAAGGAAGAUUAAUACCGCAUAAGAUUGUAAUAUCGCGUGAUAUAGCAAUUAAAGGAGUAAUCCGCUAUGAGAUGGACCCGCGUCGCAUUAGCUAGUUGGUGAGGUAACGGCUCACCAAGGCGACGAUGCGUAGCCGACCUGAGAGGGUGAUCGGCCACAUUGGGACUGAGACACGGCCCAGACUCCUACGGGAGGCAGCAGUGGGGAAUAUUGCACAAUGGGGGAAACCCUGAUGCAGCCAACGCCGCGUGAGUGAUGACGGUCUUCGGAUUGUAAAGCUCUGUCUUCAGGGACGAUAAUGACGGUACCUGAGGAGGAAGCCACGGCUAACUACGUGCCAGCAGCCGC